rnacentral:sRNA from 1 species
AGACACAGAGCCAGGCCGGGUGGAAAACAAAAAGAGAAGAAGUGAUUAUGAAAUAAUAAGACGGACCGUGUGCCCCUUGCAAGUUUCACUCUUGUUGCCCAGGCUGGAGUGCAACAGCAUGAUCUCAGCUCACUGCAACCUCUGCCUCCCGGGUUCAAGCGAUUCUCCUGCCUCAGACUCCCAAGUGGCUGGCAUUACAGGCAUGUACCACCACGCUCGGGUAGUUUUGUAUUUUUAGUAGAGACGGGGUUUCUCCAUGUUGGUCAGGCUGGCCUCAAACUCCCGACCUCAAGUGAUCCGCCUGCCUCAGCCUCCCAAAGUGCUGGGAUUACAGGCGUGAGUCACCGUGCCCGGCCUCUUUUUCUUUUUUUAAAGAAAUCAGAGAAGGAGCAGGAUGAAGUGCUGAUGGACCAAUGUUUGCCAAAUCCUUUGUUUCCAACAUACCCUGACUGAUGAGGGGUCAUGUAGGCAUGACAUUCGACCACAAUUCUGCCAGAAAGCAAAAGAAAAAAUCUUGCAGCAGAAAGUGGAGAGAUUCUUAACGACCUCUACCGAGAGAAAUGCAUGGUUCUGAAAAAGAAGCUGAUUCAGGACUGGUAUAAAUAGGAAAAGAA